CUUGCCUAUUAUUCUUGCAGAAAUACGCAUGACUCCCCACAAAUCAUUGAAACUGUCACCCUUUGAAAUACUAAUGGGAAGACCCUUUCCCACCCCAUGGGCUAAGAAACCCCUGGCCUUGCAGUAAGGAGAUUUAGAACAAAUUCAGGAUCACUAUGUUAGGACAUUGAUAACCAAACUAGAUGAGAUAGAACAAAAGUUGUCUGUAAGUUUCCUUCUCUUCCACAGGAAAACACCCACCCUUUUAUACCAGGAGAUGUUGUAGUUAUAAAAUGAUUGACCAAAGAUAAAAGAGCCAAAUAUUUUGCUUAUGGUCCAGAGACGAAUGUGGUAGCCGUUACCCGGACCACAAUACUGACGGAAGAGAGCCCAACAUGGAUCCAUGCCACCCGAGUAAAACUGGUGCCUAGAGCCAGACAAAGAGAGGUAAUAACGAGGGCGGACAGCCCUGACCUCCGACUAGAAGCAAGUACAAGUGAGGUAACAACGAGGGCGGACAGCCCUGACCUCCGACAAGAUGACGUCGCUUAUUUCACCACAUACUUCUGGGAAAGCCUUGUGCCUCCUAUUCUGGACUGCCCUGAUUGUAUUCCUGCCAGUUGGCUGAUAACUAACUGUAUCUAUCAUCCUGAAGAUUUGGGACAUAUAAAGAACAUUUGUGGAGCUUCUAACACUCCACAACAGAACAAUAUGAAUAAUACACAUGA